CUCUGGAGUAGACAAAGGACGUGCUGCUGGCAUCCCUGCAUCCUGGUGGUUUGCAGCACCACCAGGGAAAUCAGCGUCCUAGGAAUGGUUGUUACCCGCCACUUGGACAGGAAAUGUCGCAGACAAAGCCUUGUUUUUCUGCUCCUGGAAUUAAGGUUUAGAGGCAGCUGCAAGGAAAUCGAUACGGAGCUGCUAAGCCCUUAAUGAACGACAGCAAAAGGCUGAUCGUGUUGCCUAAAACAGCUUUUUUCAAAGCUGCUUGUCUUGGGCGAGUGUUAACAAGAAUUGAUCGAGUUCCUCUGAGGUGUGGUUUCCAGGGUGCUGUGGGCCAGUGAAAGGGAGAGUGCGGUGGGGACCUAGAGGCGGUUGCCAUGGGUGCAAGUGUUGCUCUGCAGCCGAGUCCUUAGGUUACCCAGGGCUAGUUGAGUGGUAGCAACCUGGAAGCCAGGUUGCUAAGUCUGUAUAAAACUUUUCUGCCACCCCACCCCCUUCUAUCCUGGGAUCUGGGCCAAAGCUCGAUAACUAAAUGGGGCACAAAGCUCCAGCUUUAAGGAGGGGUAAACAAGUGUACUAAGUCUAUAUCCAUUCCCCAUGGGAGAAGUAAGGGUGGCAGUUACCCAGCUGCUGGCCUUAACUAUCCUCUUAUGAAGUCAUUUCUGCUUAAAUCUGAGCUUGUCUUCAGGAAACAAAUCUGUAACUCUAUGGAGAAAAGAAACAACUUAGUUAAUAGGGAUGCACAGGACACCCCAGCAGUGAAAUGUCACCUGGUUAAUGCUACUGUCUAAUGGUCCUAUCAUCCAUUGCUCCUUCAGAGGCAGGUGAAGCGUGGGUCACAGUUUCCUUGCCCACAGGGCCUGGGCAGAUGUUUCUCCAUCUGUCAAUGGAAGACUCCGCCAAUCGGAAAUCCUCACGGUGGCAUCAAGGCAUAUGGUGACACAGAUUUUUACACAUGAAGUAACGAAACCCGUGCAUGGUGACCAGUCAGUUCCCAACGGACCAGGUGUGAAAUGUCUACUGAGACACAGGACUGUCAGUGCUAAACCCCAGAAAGUUUCAGGCAAAUCACAAUGAACUGGUAACUUCAAACUUGAGUCUAAGAAGCAUAGCAACUUUCCUG
rnacentral:lncRNA from 1 species